UACGUAGGGGGCAAGCGUUGUCCGGAUUUAUUGGGCGUAAAGAGCGUGUAGGCGGCUUGGUAGGUCCGCUGUGAAAACUCGAGGCUCAACCUCGAGAUGUCGGCGGAAACCACUUGGCUAGAGUCCGGAAGAGGAGAGUGGAAUUCCUGGUGUAGCGGUGAAAUGCGCAGAUAUCAGGAAGAACACCAACGGCGAAGGCAGCUCGCUGGGACGGUACUGACGCUGAGACGCGAAAGCGUGGGGAGCGAACAGG
rnacentral:rRNA from 1 species